rnacentral:rRNA from 1 species
AAUACGACCGUACCGCAAACCGACACUGGUGCGCGAGAUGAGUAUUCUAAGGCGCUUGAGAGAACUCAGGAGAAGGAACUCGGCAAAUUGACACCGUAACUUCGGAAGAAGGUGUGCCCUAUUAGUGUGUAGUGAACAACGAAGCAUGAAUGGGUUGCAAAAAAUCGGUGGCUGCGACUGUUUAUUAAAAACACAGCACUCUGCAAACACGAAAGUGGACGUAUAGGGUGUGACGCCUGCCCGGUGCUGGAAGAUUAAAUGAUGGGGUGCAAGCUCUUGAUUGAAGUCCCAGUAAACGGCGGCCGUAACGAUAACGGUCCUAAGGUAGCGAAAUUCCUUGUCGGGUAAGUUCCGACCUGCACGAAUGGCGUAACGAUGGCCACACUGUCUCCUCCUGAGACUCAGCGAAGUUGAAAUGUUUGUGAUGAUGCAAUCUCCCCGCGGAAAGACGGAAAGACCCCAUGAACCUUUACUGUAGCUUUGUAUUGGACUUUGAACAGAUCUGUGUAGGAUAGGUGGGAGGCUUUGAAGCAGGGUCGCUAGAUCUUGUGGAGCCAACGUUGAAAUACCACCCUGGUGUGUUUGAGGUUCUAACCUAGGUCCAUUAUCUGGAUCGGGGACAGUGCAUGGUAGGCAGUUUGACUGGGGCGGUCUCCUCCCAAAGCGUAACGGAGGAGUUCGAAGGUACGCUAGUUACGGUCGGACAUCGUGACGAUAGUGCAAUGGCAUAAGCGUGCUUAACUGCGAGACUGACAAGUCGAGCAGAUGCGAAAGCAGGACAUAGUGAUCCGGUGGUUCUGUAUGGAAGGGCCAUCGCUCAACGGAUAAAAGGUACUCUGGGAUAACAGGCUGAUACCGCCCAAGAGUUCAUAUCGACGGCGGUGUUUGGCACCUCGAUGUCGGCUCAUCUCAUCCUGGGGCUGUAGCCGGUCCCAAGGGUAUGGCUGUUCGCCAUUUAAAGAGGUACGUGAGCUGGGUUUAAAACGUCGUGAGACAGUUUGGUCCCUAUCUUCCGUGGGCGCUGCAGAUUUGAGGAAGCCUGCUCCUAGUACGAGAGGACCGGAGUGGACACACCUCUGGUGUAUCGGUUGUCACGCCAGUGGCAUUGCCGAGUAGCUAAGUGUGGAAGAGAUAACCGCUGAAAGCAUCUAAGCGGGAAACUCGUUUCAAGAUGAGAUCUGCCGGGGCCUUGAGCCCCCUAAAGAGUCGUUCAAGACCAGGACGUUGAUAGGUCAGGUGUGGAAGC